GCCUUUAAUCUAGCCUCAUUUUUUUGUAUACUAAGCACCCCCUAACUAAAACAAAAUAAAACAUUUUUACUUUCUAGUAGAUGAGAUCAAAAAAUUUCCUAGCGCUUCAGAUUAAGUACCGCAAGGGAAAGAUGAAAUAGUAAUGAAAUAAUACUAAAGCACUAAAUAGCAGAGACCCUCCUCGUACCUUUUGCAUCAUGGUCUAGCUAGUCUUAAUUAAGCAAAAUGUAAUUAAAGUUUAACCCCCCGAAACUAAGUGAGCUACUUCGAAACAACUAUAAGAGUGCACCCAUCUCUGUUGCAAUAGAGUGGGAUGAUUUCCAAGUAGAGGCAACAAACCUAUCGCACCUAGAAAUAGCUGGUUACUCAAGAAACGAAUUUUAGUUCAACCUUAAGUUUUUAUAGUAACUUGAAACCCCAAUGAAACUUAAGAGCUACUCAAAUAAGGCACAGCUUAUUUGAAAUAGGAUACAACCUAAACCACAGGGUAAUAUUUUUAAAUAAAAUGUUAAGUAGGCCUAAAAGCAGCCAUCUUAAACAAAAGCGUCAAAGCUUGACAUUUUAUUUUCCUAAUCUCCCACAUUUUAUAGAACCCUUAUUUAAUAUUGAGUAAUUCCAUAACCAUAUGGAAAAUAUAAUGCUAGAACUAGUAACAAGAAAUAGAACUUUCUCCAUAAUAUAAACCUAAGCCAUAUAUGACAAACUACUGGCAAUUAACGUAAAUGAUAACCCUUUAGUAACUAAACAAGAAAAUCCUACAACACUUAACGUUAACCUUACACUAGAAUAUUCAUGGAAAGAUUAAAAGAAAAAGAAGGAACUCGGCAAACACUAACUCCGCCUGUUUACCAAAAACAUCGCCUUUUGAUAAAGUCAUAAAAGGUCCAGCCUGCCCAGUGAUAACAUUUAACGGCCGCGGUAAUCUGACCGUGCGAAGGUAGCAUAAUCACUUGUUCUUUAAAUGAGGACUAGUAUCAACGGCACCACGAGAGUUACACUGUCUCCUUUCUCCAAUCAGUGAAACUGAUCUUCCCGUGAAAAAGCGGGAAUUAAAAUAUAAGACGAGAAGACCCCAUGGAGCUUUAAACCCAACUUCACCCCCUGCACCUAAAACCACUUAAAUCAGGAGACCUGUAUGCUUGGUUUUAGGUUGGGGUGACCAUGGAGCACAACAUAACCUCCUUGAUAAAAGAAAUUUUUCUUAUCUAUGAGUAACUUCUCUAAGAAUUAGCACUCUAAUAUAAAAUGAUCCGAUAAUCGAUCAACGAACCAAGUUACCCUGGGGAUAACAGCGCAAUCUACUUCAAGAGCCCCUAUCGACAAGUAGGUUUACGACCUCGAUGUUGGAUCAGGGUAUCCUAGUGGUGCAGCAGCUUCUAAUGGUUCGUUUGUUCAACGAUUAAAACCCUACGUGAUCUGAGUUCAGACCGGAGUAAUCCAGGUCGGUUUCUAUCUAUAAAGAGCUAUUUCUAGUACGAAAGGAACGAAAUAACGUGGCCUCUUCACAAUCAAGCCACAACUUUUCAUUAAUGAAGAUAUCUUAAUUACUAAAAAUCUAUGACUCCUCCCUAGAUCAGGGCCA
rnacentral:rRNA from 1 species